CUGUCCCCGGGCUGCCUGGGAGUCACUGGGGAGUCCUAGCCCGCCCUUGGGCCUAGGGCUCCCUGAUGCGGCCUCCACUCUUCGCAGGGCCAGGGGGCGAGGAAGGAGGAGGGAGGGAAGAGGGAAGCUGGGGAGUGGGAGAGCGUCCUCCACGACCGCUUGGGUCCUCCGCGGGGCAGCCUCGGGGAGGGUGGCUGCAGGGCCCGGAGUCGCCUGGAUCGCAGCGCCAUCUCGUGGCUGCUGGCAGGUCUGCCUUGGGCCCUCUUGGCACAAGGCAAGGAAACAGGAGCUCUUCCCAUCAGUGACAGGUGCCCGCCGGCCCGCACCCAGGAGAAUGCUCCAGUGUCACCAGUGACUCCUGCUCCCACAUCUGCCUACAGGAAGCCCUCUUGGAACAAAAGCAUCUCACUUCUGGGAGGCAUCAAGACUGGGUUUUGCCAUGUUGCCCCGGCUGGUCUCGAACU
rnacentral:lncRNA from 1 species